rnacentral:lncRNA from 1 species
UAGAAAUGAUCAGUGGAAUAGAAAAUUUUAAAUUGGACUACUCAAGCCUUAAUGUGGAUUGAGAUUGGGGAGUGGAGGAGGGGAGCAGAGGAGAUCGAUGCAAGAGAUAAAGAAAAGACAGGAGCAGGAAGGUGAAAACAACAAAGGGAAUCGGAAUAGAUGUAUUUGGGUUAAGAUGAACAAGGAUAAGGAAUUUACCACAGAUUUUUCUCUCAAUUCUUACGUCUUCACAAAGUUGGGUGAAGGGAACUGCAGCACACAGCUUUGA